UUAUAGAGAGAGCCAACGAGCCUUAAUUACUACACUAAGUACUAAAUUACAAGCGUUCUUGCUUCCAUUCUUGACUGAACGCCUACCACACAAAAGUACGUGAGCCCAACCCAUGCACUACAUAUUUUUCUAACUACGUGUCUGAUCAAGUAGAUUUAGCACUUGACCGGCCCAACAACUAUACUGGUCGGCCAUUACAGAUAAAAUCACGACCGUUCUGAAUGUGUCGAUCAUAUCCUGUAAUCUCCUAGAAACCAUACAUAGAACUCCAAGUGCAGUGUGAACACUUGCUUUGAUUCAAGGCCUUUGGGGCUUCUUCUGUCAAGGAGACAGACUCGGAAUUUGGAACAUAGGUGGCGCUGAUUUGUAGCGAUGUGUCGUUGCCGUCUGCAGGACAGCUUCUGUGGCUGCUGUACUCUCCGCCAUGGCUCAGUAUUUGUAGGGAUCGUCCAUCUGAUCAUCUCUAUGUUAGGUGGCCUGGCAGCGUUCUCCUUGUAUGGCGUUAUAUUUAAAGCAGGUAAAGGUAUUC